rnacentral:rRNA from 1 species
CGGGUACGGGGUGUUAGGGCACGACACCGGAGAGGGAGCCUGAGAAACGGCUACCACAUCCAAGGAUGGCAGCAGGCGCGCAAAUUACCCAAUCCCGACACGGGGAGGUAGUGACAAUAAAUAACAAUACGGGGUUCUUUAGGAUCUCGUAAUUGGAAUGAGUACAAUUUAAAUCUCUUAACGAGGAACAAUUGGAGGGCAAGUCUGGUGCCAGCAGCCGCGGUAAUUCCAGCUCCAAUAGCGUAUAUUAAAGUUGUUGCAGUUAAAAAGCUCGUAGUUGAAUUUCGGGGUUAGUAGGUUGGUCAUGCCUCUGGUAUGUACUGGUCUCACUGAUUCCUCCUUCCUGAUGAACCUUAAUGCCAUUAAUUUGGUGUUUUGGGGAAUUUGGACUGUUACUUUGAAAAAAUUAGAGUGUUUAAAGCAAGCUAACGCUUGAAUACAUUAGCAUGGAAUAAUGAAAUAGGACGUUCGAUCCUAUUUUGUUGGUUUCUAGGAUUGACGUAAUGAUUAAUAGGGAUAGUUGGGGGCAUUAGUAUUCAAUUGUCAGAGGUGAAUUCUUGGAUUUAUUGAAGACUAACUACUGCGAAAGCAUUUGCCAAGGAUGUUUUCAUUAAUCAAGAACGAAAGUUAGGGGAUCGAAGACGAUCAGAUACCGUCGUAGUCUUAACCAUAAACUAUGCCGACUAGGGAUCGGAUGAUGUUAAUUUUUUAAUGACUCAUUCGCGCCUUACGGGAACAUG